GCCCGGAUGGUGAAAUUGGUAUACACGCUGCGUUCAGGGCGCAGUUCCGGUUUACGGAGUGCGAGUUCGAGUCUCGCUCCGGGCACUA
rnacentral:tRNA from 1 species